GUCUACGGCCAUACCACCCUGAACGCGCCCGAUCUCGUCUGAUCUCGGAAGCUAAGCAGGGUCGGGCCUGGUUAGUACUUGGAUGGGAGAAAUACUUAUUCAAAUCCUUUAUUAAGUUUAUAAAUAGGUUAUUGCU
rnacentral:rRNA from 1 species